rnacentral:rRNA from 1 species
GCCUACGGCCGUACCACCCUGAAAGCGCCCGAUCUCGUCUGAUCUCGGAAGCUAAGCAGGGACGGGCUUGGUUAGUACCUGGAUGGGAGACCGCCUGGGAAUACCAGGUGUUGUAGGCU